GAUGAACGCUGGCGGCGUGCUUAACACAUGCAAGUCGAACGGAAAGGCUCCUGCUUGCAGGGGUACUCGAGUGGCGAACGGGUGAGUAACACGUGGGUGAUCUGCCCUGCACUUCGGGAUAAGCCUGGGAAACUGGGUCUAAUACCGGAUAGGACGAUGGUUUGGAUGCCAUUGUGGAAAGUUUUUCGGUGUGGGAUGAGCUCGCGGCCUAUCAGCUUGUUGGUGGGGUAAUGGCCUACCAAGGCGUCGACGGGUAGCCGGCCUGAGAGGGUGUACGGCCACAUUGGGACUGAGAUACGGCCCAGACUCCUACGGGAGGCAGCAGUGGGGAAUAUUGCACAAUGGGCGCAAGCCUGAUGCAGCGACGCCGCGUGGGGGAUGACGGCCUUCGGGUUGUAAACUCCUUUCGCUAGGAACGAAGCGCAAGUGACGGUACCUGGAGAAGAAGCGCCGGCUAACUACGUG
rnacentral:rRNA from 1 species